AUUGAACGCUGGCGGCAUGCCUUACACAUGCAAGUCGAACGGCAGCACGGGUGCUUGCACCUGGUGGCGAGUGGCGAACGGGUGAGUAAUACAUCGGAACAUGUCCUGUAGUGGGGGAUAGCCCGGCGAAAGCCGGAUUAAUACCGCAUACGAUCUACGGAUGAAAGCGGGGGACCUUCGGGCCUCGCGCUAUAGGGUUGGCCGAUGGCUGAUUAGCUAGUUGGUGGGGUAAAGGCCUACCAAGGCGACGAUCAGUAGCUGGCCUGAGAGGACGACCAGCCACACUGGGACUGAGACACGGCCCAGACUCCUACGGGAGGCAGCAGUGGGGAAUUUUGGACAAUGGGCGAAAGCCUGAUCCAGCAAUGCCGCGUGUGUGAAGAAGGCCUUCGGGUUGUAAAGCACUUUUGUCCGGAAAGAAAUCCUUGGCCCUAAUACGGUCGGGGGAUGACGGUACCGGAAGAAUAAGCACCGGCUAACUACGUG
rnacentral:rRNA from 1 species